UAAGCCUCAUUUAAAGGCUGGCAGUCACAAGGGAAGAGUCUCUACCUAGAGAUCCUGGAGUGUUUGGUGAGCUCUUACCCUUGGGACAGAGCCAAAGCUUCUCUGCCAUCCGAUCAUUGUGUUGUUGCUGGUUGUGCUGCACUACAACAGAGACCUAUUAUCAUUCACUGACUGGAUUCAGUUUUCUGGAAAUUGCAUCUUUCCUGUUGGUUCUAGGUCAAACUUUGCAGUCAGCAGAGCAGACUGGGAUGGAAAAAUGCCCCUGAGGUCUAUGGAAUUUUGUAUAUAGAAGACUGUAGGGGAGCUUUUAUUUUUAAAAGCUGAAAAGAAUAAGGGAAAGAAGCAAUUACACUCUUAGGUUCAUGUUGCAAGGACUUCAAUAUUAUGCAUGCAGUUGAGAUUAAAUUGAUCUGAGAAACACCAUUAUUCUAGUAGUGAAAAGAAUUAAACAAUUGCUCAAGUUAAACUUCUAAAUAACCUAAUUAACUUUUUGAAGUGGGUUCUUUUAGUCUCUUCAAAAUUAGCACUUCAACAUCUAUGAAACUGUCUUAAAAAGAUUUUGACUACUUACAGGAUAUGAGACAUCCUAUUUCAGAUAUGAAUUAGUUCUAAGUAGUUAAUUUUACUACAUCUUACUUUUGCAUUGUCAAUGUUAAUUUUUAUAAUUUGAUAUAUCUUAGUCUCUGAAGGAACUUAUUAAAGAUGUUAGAGAUCUUAUUUACAGUCUCAAACCCUGCUACUUCAAGUAUGCAACCACUGAAAUAUUGUAAUGUGUCAAGGAAAGUCAUUUUUCAAAUGAUCAGGCAGAACUAACCAGAUGUAUGAGGUAGCCUCACACUUAUGUUUGCAGGUCUGAGUCAUAACUACACGAAUGUUUAUGAAUGUUAAAUUGGUAGGACAAAAGCAGAAAUAACUCAAGGAGUACAAGAUAUUGCAUGACUUUGCCAUCACCUAGCGAGAAAGUAACCCUCUAGAUAAAAGCCAGACUAUCGAGCUGCCAUUCUCCCCACACAAACCUGAUGCUCACCAUUUUUCUGAUGGUCCAAACCAAGCAAGGAGGUGUGGAAGUGUUCACACCAGGAAUGCCUUGUCUUGUGAUAGAUGGGUAGAAACCCCAGGUUGGGGGACUCAGGAAGGUACUUGUCUUGGCUACAGGCAGCAUGGAUUCAGGCUGCUUUUGCUCAGCAAGGGUUCCUUGAUGGGAGGCAGCCAUACAGGAUGAUGGGCCACAGCCCUGCUAUGGUUUGUGGCCAGCGAAUGGCUGCAGGAUGCUUGGUGCCUGCAGCUGACUGCCUCUGUCAUUGCCUGCUUAGCCUUGUGGGGACAAGUAGUACUACUUUUCUUUGUACACGGCGAGAAGUUGGGAGACAUAGGCUUCUAGCUUAUGCUCUCUAAAUUGCUCUUGGUAAGUGUUCAGAGCAGUCCUCUUCUCUGCACUGUACAUUUGAGGGAGGUGGGCAUGUUUUCUGCAUAGCUUGAGCUACAGUUAAAAGGACAGUUGUUUGACUGUAGGGAGGAUUUAGUUUGGACAUAAACUCAGGGUGGGGUAUAAUCCAAUUAUGACUGCUGUGCUUAUGUUCUCCACAUGUGAAAUGGAAGUGGCAGUGCCUUGCACAGAACUUGUGUAGUUUUCUAAACAUUAAGGAACCAAGAUCACUCCUAUAUCAUAUUCGUGUCUCCAUCCAAGACCGAACCUCCUCAGAUUCCUAGCUCAGUGAGGCUUUCUAUUUCUCUACUCAUCCCAGGGCCUGGAGCACUUUUGUCCAACUUCCUUAUGCCUGUACCUUAAUGAAACAGGAGUAUGAUUUCAAAUCUAUGGUUACUGGUGAAAUGUAAAAUUUGUGGAAAAUAACUUCUCUAUUGAAACUCUAUUUGCUGUAAUACUUUGCUGUAAUACUCAUGAAAAAUAUUACACAUGCCAUUUAUCAGUCCUUAAUGGGAACCAGGAACCUAAUUGGCAGCUCACCAGAUGAAUAAAGAAUACAGAAAGAUACCAGCUUCCCAGGGAUGUGCCUAGAUAACUGGAUAUAGAAUACACAUUCUGUGG